CUGGCCGUAAACGAUGAACACUAGAUGUUGGGGGAAUCGACCCCCUCGGUGUCGUAGCUAACGCGUUAAGUGUUCCGCUUGGGGAGUACGCACGCAAGUGUGAAACUCAAAGGAAUUGACGGGGGCCCGCACAAGCGGUGGAGUAUGUGGUUUAAUUCGAUGCAACGCGAAGAACCUUACCAAGGCUUGACAUCCUGCGAAUCUCUAAGAAAUUAGAGAGUGCCUUCGGGAACGCAGUGACAGGUGGUGCAUGGCUGUCGUCAGCUCGUGUCGUGAGAUGUUGGGUUAAGUCCCGCAACGAGCGCAACCCACGUUUUUAGUUGCCAGCAUUCAGUUGGGCACUCUAGAGAGACUGCCGGUGACAAACCGGAGGUAGGUGUGGACGACGUCAAGUCAUCAUGCCCCUUACGCCUUGGGCUACACACGUACUACAAUGCUGCGGACAAAGAGUAGCGAUCUUGCGAAAGUUAGCUAAUCUCAUAAACCGUGGCUCAGUUCAGAUCGUAGGCUGCAACUCGCCUACGUGAAGUAGGAAUCGCUAGUAAUCGCAGGUCAGCAUACUGCGGUGAAUACGUUCCCGGGCCUUGUACACACCGCCCGUCACACCAUGGAAGUUGGCCAUGCCCGAAGUCGUUACUCUAACCUUCCUUUGGGGAGGGAGAGGGCGCCGAAGGCAGGGCUGAUGACCGGGGUGAAGUCGUAACAAGGUAGCCGUAGCGGAAGCUGCGGCUGGAUCACCUCCUAA
rnacentral:rRNA from 1 species